AACGAACGCUGGCGGCAGGCUUAACACAUGCAAGUCGAACGCCCCGCAAGGGGAGUGGCAGACGGGCGAGUAACGCGUGGGAAUCUACCUAGUUCUAAGGAACAACAGUUGGAAACGACAGCUAAUACCGUAUACGCCCAACGGGGGAAAGAUUUAUCGGAAUUAGAUGAGCCAGCGUAAUAUUAGCUAGUUGGUGAGGUAAUGGCUCACCAAGGCGUCGGUCUUUAGCUGGUCUGAGAGGAUGAUCAGCCACACUGGGACUGAGACACGGCCCAGACUCCUACGGGAGGCAGCGGUGGGGAAUAUUGGACAAUGGGCGCAAGCCUGAUCCAGCCAUGCCGCGUGAGUGAUGAAGGCCUUAGGGUUGUAAAGCUCUUUCAGUAGGGAAGAUAAUGACUGUACCUACAGAAGAAGCCCCGGCUAACUUCGUGCCAGCCGCCGCAGUAACAC
rnacentral:rRNA from 1 species